GAUGAACGCUGGCGGCGUGCCUAAUACAUGCAAGUCGAGCGAAUGGAUUAAGAGCUUGCUCUUAUGAAGUUAGCUGCGGACGGGUGAGUAACACGUGGGUAACCUGCCCAUAAGCCUGGGAUAACUCCGGGAAACCGGGGCUAAUACCGGAUAACAUUUUGAACCGCAUGGUUCGAAAUUGAAAGGCGUCUUCGGCUGUCACUUAUGGAUGGCCCCGCGUCGCAGUAGCUAGUUGGUGAGUUAACGGCUCACCAAGGCAACGAUGCGUAGCCGACCUGAGAGGGUGAUCGGCCACACUGGGACUGAGACACGGCCCAGACGCCUACGGGAGGCAGCAGUAGGGAAUCUUCCGCAAUGGACGAAAGUCUGACGGAGCAACGCCGCGUGAGUGAUGAAGGCUUUCGGGUCGUAAAACUCUGUUGUUAGGGAAGAACAAGUGCUAGUUGGAUAAGCUGACACCUUGACGGUACCUAACCAGAAAGCCACGGCUAACUACGUGCCAGCCGCCGCGGUAA
rnacentral:rRNA from 1 species